rnacentral:rRNA from 1 species
ACGGGAGGCAGCAGUGGGGAAUAUUGGUCAAUGGGGGAAACCCUGAACCAGCAAUGCCGCGUGAAGGAAGAAGGCCUUCGGGUUGUAAACUUCUUUGACCAGGGACGAUAAUGACGGUACCUGGAAAACAAGCCACGGCUAACUACGUGCCAGCAGCCGCGGUAAUACGUAGGUGGCGAGCGUUGUCCGGAUUUACUGGGUGUAAAGGGCGUGUAGGCGGGAUAGCAAGUCAGAUGUGAAAUGCGGAGGCUUAACCUCCGAGCUGCAUUUGAAACUGUUAUUCUUGAGUAUCGGAGAGGCAGGCGGAAUUCCUAGUGUAGCGGUGAAAUGCGUAGAUAUUAGGAGGAACACCAGUGGCGAAGGCGGCCUGCUGGACGACAACUGACGCUGAGGCGCGAAAGCGUGGGGAGCAAACAGGAUUAGAUACCCUGGUA